GACGAACGCUGGCGGCGUGCCUAAUACAUGCAAGUAGAACGCUGAAGGAGGAGCUUGCUUCUCUGGAUGAGUUGCGGACGGGUGAGUAACGCGUAGGUAACCUGCCUGGUAGCGGGGGAUAACUAUUGGAAACGAUAGCUAAUACCGCAUAAGAUUAGAUGUUGCAUGACAUUUACUUAAAAGAUGCAAUUGUUUCACUACUAGAUGGACCUGCGUUGUAUUAGCUAGUUGGUGAGGUAACGGCUCACCAAGGCAACGAUACAUCGCCGACCAGGGCGGGGGAACGGGCAAACUGGGACGGGGGCACGGCCCAGACGCCUGCGGGAGGCAGCAGUAGGGAAUCAUUGGGAAAGGACGGAAGUCUGAACGAACAACGACGCGUGAGUGAAGGAGGUUUUCGGGUCGUAAAGCUCAGUUGUGUGAGAAGAACGAGUGGGAGAUUGGAAAGUGCACACUGUGACGGUAUCUAAACAGAAAGCGACGGCUAACUACGUG
rnacentral:rRNA from 1 species